GCGACGGUAGCUCAGUUGGUAGAGCAGCAUUAUCCUUGUUCAUAAACUUAUCCCUUUGGGGUCGAAGAAUGAGGGUUAUCGAUUAGGGAUCGGCGUGUCGUAGGUUCGAGUCCUACCCGUUGCA
rnacentral:tRNA from 1 species